rnacentral:misc_RNA from 1 species
CGUUUUAGAAAACGAUUGAAAACGAAAAAAAAACGAUCGUUUUCAAAAACAAUUAACAACCCUACCUACAGAAAGUAUUAUUAUACCCAUUUCAGGUUACUAGACUGUUUGCCAUUAUUAUGGUAUCUGAAGCCAUUAGAUACAUGUUUGGAAAUCAGAUAGCUCAGUUUUCCUGUCCCUUAAGGAUUGUCUUACUCAGACUUUGGAAGAAGAGACAUUGAUCAUCUAAAUAUUGAAAAUUUUCUGGAUACCAACCGAAAUUACGGACCAUACCUGAGGGUUGAUAUCUUCCGUAAUCCAUCACAGAUGGAAAUCCGACUUUCAAGACAGAACAACUGGAACUUUCAAAGACUGAACAUUUUCAAUAUUCAGCAGACAGGCUUUCCUCGGUUAAAUGAGCAGGAUCUGCGUGAGAUCUGGGGUGGAUCUUAUGGGGGAGACAGUACCAAGGAUUACGCCAGUUUCAUGUUAGCUGUGAAGGUCAACUCUGGACCUGGGAAGGUGUAUCCUUUGAUCAGGAUAAUCCUCCAGCAAGAUGGCAUGGUAAUGGAUGGGAUGGCGCUAGAAUAAUAAAGGCAAAUAUCCUAUCCAAACACACCAGUAACACUACUCACACUGCUGUGGUUUGUUUUGUUCCUGAAGGGAAAAUCUGUGCCAAUCAAACUUUUCAGUAUUCAAAUGACAAUUUGAACAGAAUAAAGAUGUGGGUAUGUGGACCUAGAAAUAGGGCUGGAUGUAAACCAGGGGCCAGGACUGUAUGUCCCUGUCUACACUGCUUUUCUCUUAUAGCUAUUCUUGGCCUGUACAGCCAUAGCCCCCUUCUACAGGGUACUACCCACAAGAGAACCAUUAUUGUAGAUCCUGGCAAUGGUCUACCCGCUCAACAUUUCUUCAUAUAAGAGUUGUGAAUCAAUUUUUUUAAUACUU